CACCAAGUGUGGGAUGAGUGAGUUGAAUCAUGAAAUAUCAAUAGCACAGAAAAAUCAAAUUAAUAUGACAUCAAUAUUUCAUAUUGAUAUCACAUCAAUAUAUCAGUAUUUAAAAAAAAAAAAUUAAUCUGAAGUACUUACAUGAGCACAUUAUGUGGGAUACAUACAAAUACUGUUCCUGUAAUACGUGAUAAUAUGAUAUAUACUUAUGUUGUACACAUCUCAUAUGAUAUAUACUUAUGUUGUACACAUCUCAUAUGAUACCAUUAUCGGUGUUUGUACACAUCUCAUAUGAUAUAUACUUAUGUUGUACACAUCUCAUAUGAUAUAUACUUACGUUGUACACAUCUCAUAUGAUAUAUACUUAUGUUGUACACAUCCAUGUGUUAAUACUUAUGUUGUACAAAACAU